UUUGUGAGAAAGACAAGGUAGAGGCAAACAGAUCAUUUAUGAUGAAGAGGAUGAGCUUCAAGAGAAUGAUUCGGAGUUCUUGCAGAGUAGAACCAUGCAGUACCAGACAAGAGAUAGAUCAUCCAAAGAACAAGGCUUUUUUCUAAUAAGCCAAUUCAUUUGGGACCCUGCAGAUCCACUUUUUUUCCUAUU